UCUUGACCUUAAUGAAACGAAUCAUUUCCUCUUUGCUGUCACAUCAGAGUCAUUGUAAUUCAUGUGAAGCUUUCGCCACAUCUUCUGGUUGGUUGUUUAUGUGAUUACCUUCUCCACAAGAUUAGAAGUCUCUGAAUCCAACGUGCCUGGGAUAGACCUUGCCAACAGUCUGUGCCCAUCUAGAUUUCUGAUUUUUUCAUGGUCAAGUGCAGGAGGAGGAAAAAGGCCAUUGUGGCAGGCAGAGGAGUGACUUGGUGCUGGACCCUGCUGCAUGUGGCACAGGGAUUCAAAAUUUCUUCUUGAUCAUGACACAUGGAGUCUGCUUAUCAAGGGAAUGCCUUGCUUUACGUUAUUCCACCCAAGACUCAACACUCACCAUCUCUGGAAUGGUGCCUUGAUUGGCCUCCUGAUUAAAUUUGUGUAAAUUGGGAAAGAAGAGCUCUCAAGAAAAAAUUGAAGUCCCACUGCAAUAAGAAUGAGAAAGUGAUGAUGAGCAGAUAAAAAAUAAUGUUUUUCACAUAGCUCUCAAGGCCCUGAGUCUUUCAGGAUCUAAAGGUGUACACCAUUGGUCUGUUCUCAUUUAGUUCUUACACAAGUUCCAUGGGGCCUCCAUUUGGAGGACUCUUUGUUGAUGAUAAUGGGCCAAAGACUUGGUGAAUAACAAGUGUUUACUAUGGAGAGAGAAAGUGUUUUCAAUAGUGGUGUUAGUGAAGGAUACUUCCUCCUGACUUCUAACAUUUUUGUCCUGUAAAAGAAGUUUAAUUAAGAAGUGUAACUCUGGGCCUUUCUCUGCCCUUUGAGCUAUGAGUUUGUAAAAUGAUCCAUCUGGCUGAGAUAUUUGGAAGGCGUAACUGGGGAUGUGCAACUUAGCUAAGCCAUGUUUGCCUCAGGAGUUAUGGGCAGGGAGACCUGCCCAAGUGCAAUGCCGCCCAAAUUUGCGUGAGUAGGUCUCCUCAGAUCCAGAGUUUGCUAUUAGCAAGUUGCUUGACUAACCUAGUGAAGGAUGUAACUUGCACCCUGACCUCCAUCUGUAAUACAUAUCACGUUUGCAUGAUAUGUAUUGCCAUACAUAUCACAUGUAUUGUUUCCAUAUUUCUUCUUUGCUUUAUUUCUGUACUUGUUCAUAAUCCAGAUGAAAAAGGGGGAAUUGCACUUUUGUGGGCCCCCUUGGAAACCCAAGAGAAGAAUGCAAUGUGAGCAAAAAGAUCAGCAGCCUAAAGCAGUUUGGAGCAUUUGGGAAGCUUUAGGUUCAUAUACCUGGACUAGAGCUGUAGGGUGGGACCUAAAGAAAGAUGUGAGAAUCAUACAAUCAGAAGACUCAUAUGCCAUACCAAACAGUGUGAGCUUUACACAGAGGCCAUUGUGGGAGAGCCUUAAUAAAGAGCUGAUGUAUUGAUUCAUGGGAUGGACAUAAAAAUGUCACUGUUUUGGAAAAGCUACUCAAGCUCUAUUGUUGAGAAUGUCCCAUCAAAGCCUCAAACACAAUGGAUGGAGGCAUCAUAUACACCACCUUCUAGGGUCCCGUGUUCCACAGGACAUAAAAAAGCAAGUGAAGCAAAACAACAAAGAAAAGAGUGAAAGAGAGGCAGAGAUAGAGUUUUCUAGUAGGACAGAUGAUUGUACUGUCCAUUUCUACCAAUUAAUAUUGGACUUAGUCUGGCUGCUGAGUACUGGAGACACAAAAUAACAGUGUGCUCCCAGCACCAGAUUUAAUCUGGUUGUUUUCAUCUCUGGAUCCAAAAGAGCUCAGAGAUGAUACAAACCAUUUCUCCCACAGGUUCAAUGAUUUGCCCAAAGUCUCAGAGAUCACUUUUUAAUUUGUCAUUUUCAGCUUCCCCAACUAGCUCUUCUUCCUGUGUUCAAUAUUCUGCAUCUAUGUCCUGUAAGCCUGACUGAUAGUGCCAUCCUCCACUCCACCUACUUCCUGUUUCCUCCAGUUGCUUGUUUCCUUGUUAAUUGCUUAUUCUGUCUUAGGAGAAUUGCCAUUGCACUCUCGUUACAAUAAAGCAUGUUAUCAAUCA